AAGACGGACGCACGGACAGGACAGGACAGGACAGGACAGGACAGGACACGACACCGGGGGCCCGCCCCGGCAGCCUUGCCCUGGGGAGGAAGGCGGCAGGACAAAAACCACGAGCACCGAGCAGCUGGAGGGGUGGAGCUAGGCCCGGACCUGGACCUGAGGGUUGGGGUCAGCGAGCGGGUGACCCGGCCUAGCCGCAGCCCCCCUCUCCGUUUGCAGACCCGAGGCUGCACAGCGCGGGGUCCCGCGCCUUUCGUUCUCUUUAAGACAUGACGUCUGGAGAACCCAAGUCAAAGACAAGAUCUUCAAGUUCGGGGUCACCGCCUCUCUGGAGAGAGGGCGAGGCAAGCAGGCUGCCUGAUCUAAAAGUUAACCCUAUUCCCUGUACAGAAUCUACCUCUUUUUAGCUGGACAUUUGGACCUUCGGAAAACAUGACACAUUUCUACAAUGGAUUUUAACUAAAGCUUAAACCACAACCAA